rnacentral:SRP_RNA from 1 species
GCUGGGCACAGUGGUGCAUGCCUGUAGUCCUAGCUACUUGGGAGGCUGAGGUGGGAGGAUUGCUUGAGCCUGGGAGGUCAAGACUGCAGUGAGCUGUGAUUGCAUCACUGCACUCCAGCCUGGGCAACAAAGCAAGACCCUGCCUCAA